rnacentral:tRNA from 1 species
CGGGAUAGCUCAGCUGUAGA